rnacentral:rRNA from 1 species
UGAGGGAAAGGCGAAAAGAACCCCGGCGAGGGGAGUGAAAAAGAACCUGAAACCGUGUACGUACAAGCAGUGGGAGCCCCACCACUAAGCCAGUGGUGAACUCCACAUCCGCAUCCUUUGCUGAGGAUACGGUUAACGGAGCUAAAGCGACGUUCAACCGCAAAACAAGCAGAGGGGGCUUAGUGGUGGGGUGACUGCGUACCUUUUGUAUAAUGGGUCAGCGACUUAUAUUCUGUAGCAAGGUUAACCGAAUAGGGGAGCCGGAGG